GACAAAACUCUGACAA
rnacentral:rRNA from 1 species